rnacentral:rRNA from 1 species
UACAGAGAGUGCAAGCGUUAAUCGGAAUUACUGGGCGUAAAGCGUGCGUAGACGGUUAUGUAAGUCGGGUGUGAAAGCCCCGGGCUCAACCUGGGAAUUGCAUUCGAGACUGCAUAGCUAGGGUGCGGAAGAGGGAAGCGGAAUUUCCGGUGUAGCGGUGAAAUGCGUAGAUAUCGGAAGGAACACCAGUGGCGAAAGCGGCUUCCUGGUCCAGCACCGACGUUCAGGCACGAAAGCGUGGGGAGCAAACAGG